rnacentral:rRNA from 1 species
UACGGGGGGGGCAAGCGUUGUUCGGAAUUACUGGGCGUAAAGGGCUCGUAGGCGGCCAACUAAGUCGGAUGUGAAAUCCCCAGGCUCAACUUGGGAACUGCAUCCGAUACUGGAUGGCUUGAAUUCGGGAGAGGAUGCAGAAUUCCAGGUGUAGCGGUGAAAUGCGUAGAUAUUGGGAAGAACACCGGUGGCGAAGGCGGCGACCUGGUCCGAUACUGACGCUGAGGCGCGAAAGCGUGGGGAGCAAACAGG